rnacentral:rRNA from 1 species
GAUGAACGCUAGCGGCAGGCUUAACACAUGCAAGUCGAGGGGCAGCGCAGGUAGCAAUACUGGGCGGCGACCGGCAAACGGGUGCGGAACACGUACGCAAUUUACCCUUAUCUGGGGGAUAGCCCGGAGAAAUCCGGAUUAAUACCCCAUAAUAUAUAUGGAUGGCAUCAUCUGCAUAUUAAAGCUCAGGCGGAUAAGGAUGAGCGUGCGUCCCAUUAGCUAGUUGGUAGGGUAAAGGCCUACCAAGGCGACGAUGGGUAGCUGGUGUGAGAGCACGACCAGCCACACGGGCACUGAGACACGGGCCCGACUCCUACGGGAGGCAGCAGUGAGGAAUAUUGGUCAAUGGACGCAAGUCUGAACCAGCCAUGCCGCGUGGAGGAUGAAGUAUUUCGGUAUGUAAACUUCGAAAGAAUAGGAAGAAUUAAUGACGGUACUAUUUAUAAGGUCCGGCUAACUACGUGCCAGCAGCC